CCUGCGCCACACUUUUUGAUGCCAAUUUUCUCCAUGCUGGAAUAGUUUUUGCAUUAGAUUUUUUUAUACCAAAGAGUUCUCUCACCCUCCUUUCUCACAUCCAAAUAUGGGUGUUAUAUUAUUUUUAUGGAAGGUUCAAAUUAGAUUUGAAUUGGUUACCAUAUAUAUAGACAAUGUUUGACAUUAUCUACAAGUCCACAA
rnacentral:lncRNA from 1 species